rnacentral:rRNA from 1 species
GAAAGGCUUCGGCCGGACAGGGAUGGGCAUGCGGCGCAUUAGGCAGUAGGCGGGGUAACGGCCCACCUAACCGACGAUGCGUAGGGGUUCUGAGAGGAAGGUCCCCCACACUGGUACUGAGACACGGACCAGACUCCUACGGGAGGCAGCAGUGAGGAAUAUUGGUCAAUGGUCGGGAGACUGAACCAGCCAAGCCGCGUGAGGGAUGAAGGUACAGAGUAUCGUAAACCUCUUUUGUCAGGGAACAAAGGCGGGGACGUGUCCCCGGAUGAGUGUACCUGAAGAAAAAGCAUCGGCUAACUCCGUGCCAGCAGCCGCGGUAAUACGGAGGAUGCGAGCGUUAUCCGGAUUUAUUGGGUUUAAAGGGUGCGCAGGCGGUCUGUUAAGUCAGCGGUCAAAGCCCGGGGCUCAACCCCGGCCCGCCGUUGAAACUGGCAGUCUCGAGUUGGAGAGAAGUAUGCGGAAUGCGCGGUGUAGCGGUGAAAUGCAUAGAUAUCGCGCAGAACUCCGAUUGCGAAGGCAGCAUGCCGGCUCCACACUGACGCUGAGGCACGAAAGCGUGGGUAUCGAACAGGAUUAGAUACCCUGGUAGUCCACGCAGUAAACGAUGAAAGGUGGCUGUCCGGGGGGAUUGACCCCUGG